GGUCAAGCAAGAAAGAGCAUAAGGUGAAUGCCUUGGCACUAGGAGCCGAUGAAAGACGUGGUAAGCUGCGAUAAGCUUCGGGGAGGCGCAAACAGCCAU
rnacentral:rRNA from 1 species